UGCGCACGGCGCCUACACUACUUCUUUUUAUUUUGAGCGCAAUCACAGUGCUCGUGCGCCUGCUAGAGUCGUGCCGUCGGCCUCCCCGGCACCUGUUGCUCGCACCUUGCCCUGCACCAACGAUGCCGUCAUCUCCCAUGACGACCCAAGCUGCACCAGAGACCGGGAAAAGAAAGGCGGCAGCCACCGUUCUAGCACCUGCCGCUCCCUCUCUCCCGUUUGACUUUCACACCGUCACGUGUGUGACGUGGUCAGCUUCAGGUCGGAACAUUGGUGUGGGCACAACAGACGGGUUCCUCAUCUACAGCAUCGAGCCUCUCUUCAGCAACCUGAGUGGUGCCUCGGCUUCUCAGGGCACCCUCGCCCACUCCGCUGAAGCUGCAAGUCUCCUGGGCGCAGAUGUACACAACUCAAUGGUGCAAGAAGUUUGCCGAUGCGUGGUGUAUGGCGGAGUGGGGUUGCUGAGCUUGUACAAGCAGUGCAGUCUCGUAGCCUUCACCGGGGUUCAGCGACGCAGUGCAGCAGCGCGAAUACAGCUGGCGGACAUCAGUCUACAAGCACCGCCGGACUUCUAUGCACCCUCCGCGCCGUCUCCAUCGGCGGAGGUGGCAGGCGCCGCACCGCCCGCGCCGCGCUGCAAGCCAUGGCCACCGGAAGAAGAUGCAGCGGUUGCGCAUUGGUACGAGCGGUGGCGCGUGUCAGUCUUUGCCAACAGCUCAGCAGCAACAGCCACCACAGUCAGCACGCUGGCCUUUGUGGAGUGCCCGCCGACAGUGGUGGGGUUGAACUUUUGCCCUCAUGCCGUGAUUGCAGCGGCGUCUGGGGAUCCCAAAAUCGUCGGCUCGCACACCCUUCAUGUCUUCGACCACCACCUAAACCCGCUCUACACCCUGCCCGUGUACCCACCCAGCAGCAACGCAUACUUGAAGGACAUGAUUGCUAUUGCGGCGACUCCGACGCUCUCAAACGGGGCUGGAAUGGCGGUGCAGCGUCUGCGCGUCCUCCUACCGGGGGAGAGGAGGGGUGAGGUUCGCCUGCUGACCUUCAAGAAGUCGGUGCUGACGGCUGCCUCCUUCGAGGAAGCCACGCACGACGGUUACGCGCACCGCCUCGGCAGCCCCUACCGGCAAGGCUAUGGCGACACACAUCGGCUGGUCGACAAGGUGCUUCACCAGGCACCACUGCGCGCGGUCGCCAUCACCGAGGACGGCAAAAGCGGCGUGACAAUGAGUGAGCAGGGCAUGCGCAUCCGGGUGCUAGACUUCGUCGGUGACGACAAGAUGACCAACCGGCUCACCCUUGAUCGAGGCCACCUGCCCGCCGUCGUCGACACCGUCUCGCUCGCCAUCGUCGCCGUGCCGCAGGCUCACCCCUUGCUGCGGAACGCCGCGGCCGCGACGGCAUAUACCCACGAGCGAUGCGGCAGUAACGACAACAACGCACCUGCUCACGCCAGUGAGGCACUGAGCCGACAGUACCAGCGCUUGACAGAGGCGGUGCACGACAUCGUGGUGUGCCUCACAAGCUCCGGCACAAUCCACAUCUUCGGCUGCGGCCUUCAGCAGGUGCUGUUUUACCACAGUGACAAGACACUGCUGCCGCGGGUCGGCUACCCAUAUGCGUUUUCUGUGUGCUUGCCGCCCCUUCUCGCUAAGGAGGGUGUCGCCUCGGUGUUCGUGGCGCGUAGCGACGUGACCACCUCCGCAGUACACUAUCUUCCCCGCCACGAGCACUACGUCACCAAGGGAAGGAAGCGCGACGGCAGCAACGGCGCAACUAAUCACUUGCCCGGCGAGUUCUUUGCGUUCGAAAUGCGUUACCACAGCAGCACUGCAGCGGCGGCUGCCGCAGGUGGGGCGGGUAGCACAUCCAAGUGCACAACGCUUUUCUGCUUCACCCUUUCCGCUCCGUGAAGGCAGGCGAGAAAACUGCUCGAUUGUGUGCGAGGGGUCCUUCUGCUCCGGCUGCUUCUCUUGCACUGUUGAACAAGUGCAAACUGAUUCUUUGCACCUCUGUGUUUCUCCUUGCUUCACCCUCUGUGCGCGUAAGUGUCUGCGUGUGUGCCGUUGUGGUGGCAGGCCUUGCUGUUGUGCGUAUGGAAUAACUGCGGCUCUCCACGUGCAUGUGUGUGUGUGUACUUAUGCGACGAAGUGAGCGUAGAGACGCAAAAAAAGAGAAAAAAGGGGUUUGUGCCCCUUGCUCUUGGCAUCCCUUCCCUGUCUCGACCCUCCUCUUCCUCCCCCCCCUCACUGCGACACUUACGCAUCUCAUGCCCACGUUCGUUCCCGUGUUUUUGUUCGUGAUUUUGCCGACGCUUCUCUUCCCGCUAUUGGCUCUCCCUCACUAUCCCCCCUCCUCCUCCCACCCGCUCGGAAUUCCGCAGCCCCUCUUUUCUCCACCUCUAUGGGUGUUCCUUCGCUGCUCUCACCACACAGGCACCUUGUGACUGCGAGUCUUUGCAGAGCCCUCCCACCUGACCGCACCUCCACCUCCCCCUCCAACUCCCCUCUAUACCAUUCUUGCAUCGCUGUGCUCGCAUGCCUGUGUGUGUGUAUGCCCUUCUUUUAUCCUUCAACAAGACAAGCAAAAAGUGCGCAGGCACUGAGAGACAUCACAUGUGUUGCUCUUUCGUUGGGCAGAUUUUCAUGAGCGACUCUAGAGGACGUUUUCCGUGGUAUUCCGCAUCACCUUCUCAUCAACUCGCCCGUAUGUGUUGUGGGUGUGCGGCUGUACCGUCACCACUCUCUUUCUCCCUUCGCCCUGUCUUUUUGGGGGAGGGGGAAGGGGGGCAACUGCGUAACACGGCUUACAGGCGUGUCAAUGGCCUGUCCUGUCCAACUCCGUCCUUUUCCCCACUCACCCCUCCUCCACCUAACCUCGCACAGAUCUCGUCGUCCGCAUACCUGCAGCCAUUUCACUCCUUUGCGUUUUUCGCACCUCAUUCUUUAUUCGCCCUUUAUUCUCCUCUCUUUUUUCUCGCCUUACUUCUUUGCCCCCCCCCUCCCCCGCCCACCAUAACUACCACCAUCCUCGAUCCCUCACUCUCUCUCAUUCCUACCCUGGUGCACCUCGGAAG
rnacentral:misc_RNA from 1 species